ACGAACGCUGGCGGCGUGCCUAAUACAUGCAAGUCGAACGGUCUUUCUAUGGAAGCUUGCUUCCACUGAGAAGAUAGUGGCGAACGGGUGAGUAACACGUGGGUAACCUGCCCAUAAGAGGGGGAUAACAUCCGGAAACGGGUGCUAAUACCGCAUAGUUUUCUUGAUGCAUGAUUGAGAAAGGAAAGACGGCCUUUGUGCUGUCGCUUAUGGAUGGACCCGCGGCGUAUUAGUUAGUUGGUGAGGUAACGGCUCACCAAGACGAUGAUACGUAGCCGACCUGAGAGGGUGAUCGGCCACAUUGGGACUGAGACACGGCCCAAACUCCUACGGGAGGCAGCAGUAGGGAAUCUUCCGCAAUGGACGAAAGUCUGACGGAGCAACGCCGCGUGAGUGAAGAAGGUUUUCGGGAAUCGUAAAACUCUGUUGUCAGAGAAGAACAAGUUGGAGAGUAACUGCUCCAGCCUUGACGGUAUCUGACCAGAAAGCCACGGCUAACUACGUGCCAGCAGCAGC
rnacentral:rRNA from 1 species